rnacentral:lncRNA from 1 species
UGCGGCGAUUGUUGGUACUGAUAGAACCACGAGUUUUUGUCUCACUGCCUGCAGUGGACACCCUCGUGGUCGGACCUGGGAGCCUAGAAGACUUUUUCUGACCAAGAGUGAAUCGGAUGAUUUUGCUUUGAGAUGAGUCCCUGGGAGAUGCACUUGACUGCAUUUCUGGUUGUGCUUUGAAUGGAUGCUGUGCAGCUUGCUGAGGCUGUUGGCACUGAGUUUGGAGCGAAGCUGGGACUUGCUGCUGCUGCUGCGGCCCAGCCUGGCCCUGAGAUGGAGGCCCUGUGUGCUGGGACACGGAGGGAGCUGGCUGGGACAGAUGGUGCUGUGGUGGCUGUUUCUGUGGCUGCUGCUGCUGUUGCUUGUAUCGAGACAAACUGAAGAAAAGGCCCAAGAUGGCCUUUAGAUUCCCAUUCCGGAUUUCUUCUGCUGACAGCCCCUGUAUG